rnacentral:rRNA from 1 species
UAGGGAAUCCUCCACAAUGGGCGAAAGCCUGAUGGAGCAACGCCGCGUGUGUGAUGAAGGGUUUCGGCUCGUAAAACACUGUUGUAAGAGAAGAAUGACAUUGAGAGUAACUGUUCAAUGUGUGACGGUAUCUUACCAGAAAGGAACGGCUAAAUACGUGCUAG